rnacentral:rRNA from 1 species
AGAGUUUGAUCCUGGCUCAGAUUGAACGCUGGCGGCAGGCCUAACACAUGCAAGUCGAGCGGAUGAUGGGAGCUUGCUCCCGGAUUCAGCGGCGGACGGGUGAGUAAUGCCUAGGAAUCUGCCUGGUAGUGGGGGACAACGUUUCGAAAGGAACGCUAAUACCGCAUACGUCCUACGGGAGAAAGCAGGGGACCUUCGGGCCUUGCGCUAUCAGAUGAGCCUAGGUCGGAUUAGCUAGUUGGUGGGGUAAAGGCCUACCAAGGCGACGAUCCGUAACUGGUCUGAGAGGAUGAUCAGUCACACUGGAACUGAGACACGGUCCAGACUCCUACGGGAGGCAGCAGUGGGGAAUAUUGGACAAUGGGCGAAAGCCUGAUCCAGCCAUGCCGCGUGUGUGAAGAAGGUCUUCGGAUUGUAAAGCACUUUAAGUUGGGAGGAAGGGCAGUAAGUUAAUACCUUGCUGUUUUGACGUUACCAACAGAAUAAGCACCGGCUAACUUCGUGCCAGCAGCCGCGGUAAUACGAAGGGUGCAAGCGUUAAUCGGAAUUACUGGGCGUAAAGCGCGCGUAGGUGGUUUGGUAAGAUGGAUGUGAAAUCCCCGGGCUCAACCUGNGAACUGCAUCCAUAACUGCCUGACUAGAGUACGGUAGAGGGUGGUGGAAUUUCCUGUGUAGCGGUGAAAUGCG